CUCGUAGGCGGUUCGGUAAGUCGGGUGUGAAAACUCUGGGCUCAACUCAGAGACGCCACCCGAUACUGCUGUGACUUGAGUCCGGUAGGGGAGUAUGGAAUUCCCGGUGUAGCGGUGAAAUGCGCAGAUAUCGGGAGGAACACCAGUGGCGAAGGCGGUACUCUGGGCCGGAACUGACGCUGAGGAGCGAAAGCGUGGGUAGCGAACA
rnacentral:rRNA from 1 species